UAUAUGUAAAAUAUUUUUAUAGAACAAGCCCGAUCCUGUCUGAUUUCAGAAGGUGAGCAAGGUCGGGCCUGGUUAGUAGCUGGAUGGGAGACCGCCUAAGACGACCAGGUGCUGUAGACGU
rnacentral:rRNA from 1 species